AUUGAACGCUGGCGGCAUGCUUUACACAUGCAAGUCGAACGGUAACAGGCCUUCGGGUGCUGACGAGUGGCGAACGGGUGAGUAAUGCAUCGGAACGUGCCCAGAGGUGGGGGAUAACGCAGCGAAAGCUGUGCUAAUACCGCAUGUGAUCUGAGGAUGAAAGCGGGGGACCAAGCAGCAAUGUUUGGCCUCGCGCCUCUGGAGCGGCCGAUGUCAGAUUAGGUAGUUGGUGGGGUAAAGGCCUACCAAGCCGACGAUCUGUAGCUGGUCUGAGAGGACGACCAGCCACACUGGGACUGAGACACGGCCCAGACUCCUACGGGAGGCAGCAGUGGGGAAUUUUGGACAAUGGGCGAAAGCCUGAUCCAGCAAUGCCGCGUGCGGGAAGAAGGCCUUCGGGUUGUAAACCGCUUUUGUACGGAACGAAAAGGCUCUGGCUAAUACCUGGGGCUGAUGACGGUACCGUAAGAAUAAGCACCGGCUAACUACGUG
rnacentral:rRNA from 1 species